AACUGCAACGAGGCCGCCGCGUCCCACCCAUCUCCCCCCAGAAUUUUCGCCAUUCCUUGCGCCGCGCACGGCCGUGUCCUUCCUUCUUCCCACUUCCCUCCCCUUCCCACUAGAAUCUGCAAGAAACGAGGGCGGGCGGCGGUGAACGGGAGACUACGACGCCACGAGCAGUUUGUUACUGCGACUGCCGCUAGUGGUUGCGAGGCAUGGGCCAUGGGAGGAAGGAAUAGUUGCUGUUGUUUGGUAACCGCGUAGGUCUCGUGGGUUUGCGUACCCUGCCAUCUGCGUUCCCAUCCGCUAGUCUCUUCUCGCCUCGCCUCGCCUCGCAUUCACCUUCCUCCCCGUUUCCUUCCGCAAGGGCCAGAUAAGAUUUGCUUAGGCUAGCGCGGCCCUGGGGUGGGGCUGCUGAAACCAUCAAGGAACGGGGACGUGGGAGCAAAGGGAGCAGAGGAAGGGAAGGUGACGCUGGUUUCUUGGUCGAUCGAUUCCUUUCGGCUCGAUUCGUUCUGGUCUUGCUCCUCAACUGUUUCUUGAUUGAUUGAUUCUUCUCCGGCGGGGUCUCGCUUUCCCGGCCGCUGAUUCGGGGUAUCUGAUUCGCGAUCCGGCGGGAAUUGGAUUCUUGGUCUUGGUGCGCGCGGCGUAAUUUUCGGGUACAUUGAAGCAGGGAGGGAAUUAUCAAGGAAGCAUCGGUUCUUGUUGGUAGUGGUGGGAAUCGCGGUUGGAGGAGGCCGAUCUUGUGGAAGGGAGGCCUUGUCACGGCGGCCCGGCAGGGACCGGCGGCGAUGGCCGACGGGCUGGAUCGGUGGCGCGAAUUCUUCCGGGGCACCGGCGCCGGCAUCUGCGACGUGAUCGAGAACUCCAUCCUCGUGGCAGCCGCCGACGCGCCGCGGGAGCUCCUGCACCGCCGGGACCGCAUCGCCGAGAGGCUCUUCACCGCGCACCGCCUCGACGCCGCGGCUCCGCCGCCGUCCCUGGGCAGCGUCGCGGCCUCCGCCACCCCGGCCACGCCCGUCGAGGAGGACAAGGGCAGCGUGCGCCGCGUCGCCGAGAAGGAGAGCAAGGUCGACAGCAGCAGCAACGGCGCCCACGUCAGGGUCCACGGCCACGACGAGGAUGACGACUCGGAUUCCGACGACGAGCGGCUCCGCCGCGCUGCGGCGAGCAACUACGGCCACAACUACGAUGAUGAUGAUGAUAACGACGAAGAGGAGGAUGAGCAACAGGCGGUGGAGGAGGAGCAGGAAGAGGAAGAGGACCACGAAGCUCAGGAGCUCGAGGCGCUCACCAAUGAGAUCGACGAAGAGUCACAGGUCGUCGGCGAGGUCCUCCGCAUCAAGGAGCUCCUCUUGCACAAGGAAGACCAUUCGGAUGCUACUUUGUUCGAAUCACUGAGGAGGCUGCAGUUGAUGCAAUUGUCCGUCUCCACGCUAAAGGCUACUGAGAUUGGGAGGGCAGUUAAUCUGCUGCGGAAGCACAACUCACAGCAGAUUCGUCACCUCGUGCGCACUCUCAUCGAGGGUUGGAAAGUUUUGGUUGAUGAGUGGGUCAAUACUACUAAUGCUGCUCUGGCAGAUAACUCCCCUGGCUCUUCAAAUCCUUCUGUUGUGGAUGAAGAAGAAGAAGAAGGGCUUCCUUCUCCACCUUUAGAUGAAGGAGCCUUCUUUGCAACCCAGACUACUUCUAUUCAACUUUCUGAGUUCUUUGAUGAAAUGGAUGAAGAUGGAAACUUGAGACAUAAUAAUGAUGCCAACCUUGGAAACAAGAGGGGAAGUACUGGCGGGAGGCCUGCAAACCAUUCAGCAGUUGCAAAGCAAGAGCCUCCUCGCCCUUCUCCUGGAGCCAUCGAAAAAGUUCGAUCCAGGAGGCCGGAAUUGGCAAGGCAAGAGCAAGAGCCAUCAAUGAGGCAGGCAAACCCUCAGAAACCUCAAUGUUCAAGUUUGCCAGUCAAACCACAUGGCAUGCUCAACAAGCAAUCUAAGCCCUCAAGUUUUGAAUCUGGGCCGGGGAGACCAUUAAAGGCAGCUCCUCAGCAGAAACCCUUUGGUGACAUGAAACUUAAACAGACUCGAGAGCGCAUUGCUGUUGAAAGAAAGCCUACGGCGAGCCAGAUGGAUAAAUCAAGGCUCGCUGCACAACAUUCAGCGGGAGUCAAACUAGAGUUGGCAAAGCCAAAGAUCUGUGAUGAUGGUUUGGAUAAUAACAGGAAGCUGGAAGCAGCAAAGAGAAGGCUCCAGGAGCGUUACCAGGAAGCCGAGAAUGCCAAAAGGCAGCGCACGAUACAAGUAAUGGAGCUGGGUGACAUACCAAAGCCUAAGCAUCAAAACCGACAACCUAUGGUGAAGUCAAGGAAUAACAUUAGGAAUUGGGCAAACGGGCGGCGCUAACUCUGGUGCAAUUUUGUCUCACCUGAUGAAUUGUUGCCAUGUGCUCAGUCCGAAUGCAUAUGCUCAUCCGAAGGCAACUGAAAUGAGCUGCCAGGACUUGAACAAACUUAUUGAACGAAACACCUCUGAUGAUCAAGAGGGUUUGCCCUGAAGUUGCAAGAUGCAAUAAGUUAAGUUCUUGCAUUUCGAGAGUUUAGUCAUGUCUGGAUAAUUGUAGAGUGGACAUGUAGCUCGAUCUGUACCGGCUGGCUGGUUAUUUUCUUCUUUUCUUCUUCUUCAAAAGAAGCUGUAGAUACCAGAUAGAAUAAUCAUCAAUAUUUGCUAUGUGGUCAUGCCAUGUUCCUUGCGUUUGACCUACUUGCUCUUGGAAUGCAUGCAUAGGGUCAGGUUCAGGUCAUCCUUUGCAACUGCCAAAUUCGGUGAUGCAAUUGGUGUAUGAUGAUAGUCAUGGUCAGACCCCGGAAUCUAGCAGGCACUUCAGCUGCUGCUGUUGAAUGUUUAGGCUGCCCUGCUGUUGAAUGUCGAUAUCAGCAAUCUUUACAGUUUGGUCAGCUGUAAACUCUGACUGUCACUACAUGGAAAUUUUGUAAUUCCCCUGUCAGAUUUUUGUUCGAUCAAAAGCAUAAAAUAAGGAGAAUGGAACGAAGCAAAGUGAUCCAAGAUAUGAAUCCGUCUAGUGGAUUGGGAGAAGCGUGGAUUCCACCAGCGGAGUAGUUGCAGAGCCAUUAGACCAUCUUCAGUUAUAUUCUCUUUAUUUUAUUCUUUUUAUGAUUUUUCUUUUCAUUUUUAUACUCUUUAUUUUUCCUUGUUUUUAGCAGUUUCUCUUUAAAAAGAUUUAUGAAGGAAAAAUAGAGUGAAUCUUAGGGUGAA